GAUCAUGGCUCAGGAUGAACGCUGGCGGCGUGCCUAAUACAUGCAAGUCGAACGAGGUAGCAAUACCGAGUGGCGAACGGGUGAGUAACACGUAGGUAACCUGCCCUUAAGCUUGGGAUACCCAGAGGAAACUUUGGCUAAUACCGGAUAACAACAGAGAAGGCAUCUUCUUUGCUUGAAAGGCCCCUUCAAGGGUCACUUAAGGAUGGACCUGCGGCGCAUUAGCUAGUUGGUGAGAUAACAGCCCACCAAGGCGAGGAUGCGUAGCCGAACUGAGAGGUUGAUCGGCCACAUUGGAACUGAGACACGGUCCAAACUCCUACGGGAGGCAGCAGUAAGGAGUUUUCGGCAAUGGGGGAAACCCUGACCGAGCAACGCCGCGUGAGCGAUGACGGCCCUAAUGGGUUGUAAAGCUCUGUUGUAAGCCAUGAAUGACAGCUUGAGGAAAUGCAAGUUGUUUGACGACAGCUUACCAGAAAGCCACGGCUAACUACGUGCCAGCCGCCGC
rnacentral:rRNA from 1 species